AAUCAACGCUGGCGGCAUGCCUAACACAUGCAAGUCGAACGAGAAAGGGUAGCAAUACCUGAGUAAAGUGGCGCACGGGUGAGUAACACGUGACUAACCUACCUCCGAGUUCGGAAUAACUUCGGGAAACCGAGGCUAAUACCGGAUGAUGUCUAUGGACCAAAGGGGCAACUCGCUUGGAGAGGGGGUCGCGGCUGAUUAGCUAGUUGGUGAGGUAAUGGCUCACCAAGGCAAUGAUCAGUAUCCGGCCUGAGAGGGCGCACGGACACACUGGAACUGAAACACGGUCCAGACUCCUACGGGAGGCAGCAGUGGGGAAUUUUGCACAAUGGGGGAAACCCUGAUGCAGCAAUGCCGCGUGGAGGAUGAAGUUCUUUGGAACGUAAACUCCUUUCGAUCGGGACGAUUAUGACGGUACCGGAAGAAGGAGCCCCGGCUAACUCUGUGCCAGCAGCCGCGGUAAUACAGAGGGGGCAAGCGUUGUUCGGAAUUAUUGGGCGUAAAGGGUGCGUAGGCGGUGCGGUAAGUCUUUUGUGAAAUCUCCGGGCUCAACUCGGAGCCUGCAAAGGAUACUGUCGUGCUUGAGUAUGGG
rnacentral:rRNA from 1 species